rnacentral:rRNA from 1 species
UCAGUCGACUCCUACGGGGAGGCAGCAGUGGGGAAUAUUGCACAAUGGGCGCAAGCCUGAUGCAGCCAUGCCGCGUGUAUGAAGAAGGACCUUCGGGUUGUAAAGUACUUUCAGCAGUGAGGAAGGUGGGGUAUGGUUAAUAGCAUAUUCAUUUGACGUUAGCUGCAGAAGAAAGCACCGGCUAACUCCGUGCCAGCAGCCGCGGUAAUACGGAGGGUGCGAGCGUUAAUCGGAAUUACUGGGCGUAAAGCGCAUGCAGGUGGUUUGUUAAGUCAGAUGUGAAAGACCCGGGGCUCAACCUCGGAAUUGCAUUUGAAACUGGCAAACUAGAGUACUGUAGAGGGGGGUAGGAAUUUCAGGUGUAGCGGUGAAAUGCGUAGAGAUCUGAAGGAAUACCGGUGGCGAAGGCGGCCCCCUGGACAGAUACUGACACUCAGAUGCGAAAGCGUUGGGAGCAAACAGGAUUAGAUACCCUGGUAG